rnacentral:rRNA from 1 species
UACGUAGGCAGCAAGCGUUGUUCGGAAUUACUGGGCGUAAAGAGUGUGUAGGCGGUGCUCUAAGUCUGUUGUGAAAUCUCCCGGCUUAACUGGGAGGGUGCGGCGGAAACUGGAGUGCUCGAGUAUGGGAGAGGUAAGCGGAAUUCCUGGUGUAGCGGUGAAAUGCGUAGAUAUCUGGAGGAACACCGGUGGCGAAGGCGGCAUCCUGGACCAACACUGACACUGAGGAGCGAAAGCCAGGGGAGCAAACGGG